AUUGGACGCUGGCGGCAUGCCUAACACAUGCAAGUCGAACGGUAACAGGUCCCGUAGCAAUACGGGAUGCUGACGAGUGGCGGACGGGUGAGUAAUGCGUAGGAAUUUACCUCAAAGCGGGGGAUAGCCCGGAGAAAUCCGGAUUAAUACCGCAUGUGCUCUACGGAGGAAAGCGGGCCUCUACUUGUAAGCUCGCCGUUUGAGAUAAGCCUACGUCGGAUUAGCUAGUUGGUAGGGUAAAGGCCUACCAAGGCGACGAUCCGUAGCUGGUUUGAGAGGAUGAUCAGCCACACUGGGACUGAGACACGGCCUAGACUCCUACGGGAGGCAGCAGUGGGGAAUAUUGGACAAUGGGCAAAAGCCUGAUCCAGCAAUGCCGCGUGUGUGAAGAAGGCCUGCGGGUUGUAAAGCACUUUUAUCAGGAAAGAAAAUCACAGGGCUAAUAUCCCUGUGCCUUGACGGUACCUGAUGAAUAAGCACCGGCUAACUCCGUGCCAGCAGCCGCGGUAACAC
rnacentral:rRNA from 1 species